AUGAAAGUGUUCGAUGGUCCAGAGUGGAGCAGUUUGAAAUUCAAAGCUUUGGAGGGAAAACGGUUUCCAGCAGUUACUACGUGCAAACGUGCAAGGAUCUGGAGCGUCGAGCAUGGAGAACGUGCCAAGUGGAUUGAUCUCGAAGCAGUGUUUUCUGCUGCUUUGCAAUCUAUUGUUCCACAAUCGGUCGUUCUACUGCUGGAUUAUGCUACUCAAUCCACCAUUCUACAAUCAAUCAAUUUCAAUCAUUUUCAUGGUGUUUGA